rnacentral:lncRNA from 1 species
UGAUCAUUGUGGUUCUUUUCAACCCAGGCCAUUCUAUGAUUCUAUGAUUCUCCUGGGUCCACUGCUCAGCCUAUCCAGAUGUCUCUGGAUGGCAUCCCAUCCCUCAGACAUGUUGACUGCACCACACAGCUCGGUUUCAUCCGCCAACUGCUGAGGGUGCACUCAAUCCCACUGCUGAUGUUCUUUAACAUCUCCAUUGGUGACACUGGUCCUCAUCACCAUUUUAAGUCAGUGACCACCACUGAUCUCGCAACCAGUUCCUCAUCCAUCAAACAGUCCAUGUAUCAGAUCCAUCUCUUUCCAACUUGGAGAAAAGGAUGUUAUAGGGUACUGUGUCAAAGGCCUUACUGAAGUCCAGAUAGAUAACAUCAGUGGCUCUUCCCUUGUCUGUUGUCACAGCUACACCAUCAUAGACAGCCACUAGGUUGGUCAGGCAGGAUCUGCCCUAGGAGAAGCCAAGCUGGUUAUCCUGUAUCACCUCCCAGCCUUCCAUGUGCCUUAGCACAGCUUCCAGGAGAAUCUGCUCCAUGGCACAGGGGUGAAGUUGACAGGUUGAUUUCUACAUCUAAACAUGUCUUAUUUCUCACGGCAUUUUCAGUGACCUAAAUCACUCACGCGACUGUUGCUUUACUAGCACACAGACUCUGCUUGGAGCUUGAAUACGUCAUCACUUCUGCUGUUGCUUAGGAUGCUCUACCACUGACCACCAACUCACGGACAGCUGCUUGUCACAGAGGUUGCAAGUCUCUGGAUGCAGUACUACAGAUGGGGCCUCAUGAGGGCAGAGUAGAGAGAGACUCCCUCACCCUGCUGCCACCCCUCUUUUGAUGCAGCCCUGGGUAUGGUUGGCCUCCUGGGCUGCAAACCAUACUCUGUUUAAUGUGACCCAGGGCACUGUUAGCCCUCUUGGCCACAACAGUACACUGCUGGCUCAUGGACGACCCGUCAUCCACCAGGAUCCCUACGUCCUUCUCUGCAGAACUGCUCUCAAUGAGUUCUUCUCCUGAGGGUGUACUCAAACCUAUCAUCUACGUCACCGACAAAGACACUGAACAGCACCAAUCCCAAGUCAGACUCCUGGAGGACACCACUUGUGACCAGCCUCCACGUGGACAUAGAGCCAUUUACAACAGCCUUUUAAUUGUGACCAUCCAACCACUUCUUUAUCUAUCCAACUGUCCGGGCACUGAGCCAUUCGGCUGUUUACCAAAUGGCUAAGACUGGAGACAACCCAGGGUCCCCCUGACCCAACCCUGCCCGAGCAGUGCCACAGCAUUAGCAUCCAGAGGGGUUUUGAAGGAAGACACUCCAGAACCUCUCUAACCCCUGUGGCAUGGAAAGGGCUACUGAUGUGCACAAGACACCUGUCAAAGCAAGGCAUCCUCAGAGCCAAGCAACCCUUCACUCCCUCACCCUGGCACCCUCUCACAGUCCCUCACGGCCUCUCAGAGCCAGUCACGCCCUCCCUCACGCUCCUCUUCCAUCCAACCCCCCACUCCUGUUCCCUCUCACAGCCCCCAGAUACAGGGGUGCAACGGGAGCAGCGAGCGGCCGCCUCGACGCAUGCGCAGCAGCGCGCCCGCCUCCCGCCGCGGGCCGGAGGGUCCCGCAGAGCUCCGCCCCUCGGGCACCACAGAGCGGGCGGCCGCCGCCAGGAGGAGAAGCGGGCGGCUCCUGACAGCGGAGUCUUCCCGCCUAGCUCUUCAGGAAGGUAUUCACACGGACUGAAUGGAUAUUGAGACAGACCAAGGGCUCAGUCAUUAAAUAUGUUCUGCUCAUAGUGAGAGAAGAAAGCACGGCCAUUCUGAAACAUAUAAAUGAUGUGAAGCAAGAGUUGUUCAAGUGCAGUAGUUCUCCUUUGCUAUGGACAUCUCUGAUAGAGUUUUAAAGACACACAGAAUCUUGACAGAUAAAUGUGGGAUUUUGGAAGUUUAAGCUGAGGAAAUGAAGCAGGC